GCAUGACUGGGGGAACAACCCUUAUAAGUAAAAGAAGCUACAUGAACAACUUUCUUGAAAUAAUGUCAGUGUUAUCUGCUUGUGGCUUGAGCUGCAUGGAAGGAACAAAGAACCUCCAUCAACCUGCUGCUAUUAGCAACACUGGGUGCAGGGCUGCUACCGCACAAGCUUCAUGGUGAUGUGAUGAAGAUCCAAGACGCUGAACACACACAUGCGUAUACAAAAAUUAUGUUACUCUUCAAACUUCUUGUACUCUGCCAUUCUGAUGAGGAUUACCAUCCAGCCCAGUUCCUCAGCAUCCUUGUGACAGCAGUAGAUGUUUGGGGAAAUACACAAUAACAGGACACAUCUGGAGAGAUCCUUUCCCAGAUACCAAGAGCAUAGUGAUUAUCCUCACUGCUGAAAUGCACACCCCACUGUCUCACAUCCAGUCCAGAAAAGACCAAAACUGUUUGAUCUCAGCAAGUGCCAAUGAAUUUUGGUGGGUGCAGUUUGUUCUGAAUGGAAGAAUUAAAUGAUACACCUUUGCUUCAUACACACUUCUGUGUCAGACUCCAUUUUGCCUGACUGCCCCUCCGCUGCUAUCUGUUGCGUGGCAACAAAAUGUAACGAAAGAUGGGAAAGCUCAGCCUCUUCAGCCAUACCACCAACGUCUGUCUCUGACAUCACGGGCCAGCAUAAUAAAGAAGGAGGCAACAUUUUCAGAGCAGUCCUCACAAUCUUUUGAGAUUCUGGCCUCCAAGAAAAUCAAUAAGUCUUCCAGAAGAAAUAUGCAUGCUUUUCCUCAUGGAGACUUUAUUGCAGUUACAUGCAGCACUCUGAUGGACUUACACUUGAAGUGCAGAGUAACUCCUGGAAUAUACCACGGUGCUGAGGACAGACUCCUGGGCCCCCAGGAUAGACUCGUACCUAGAGCAAGCUGCAAGAAAAAAGUACAAUCAACCUCUCAAAUUACAGUGCAAUGUGGCAUGGAUCUCUCUGAUUCCUCACCAAGCCAGAAGGCAUAAUCACGUAAUAAGUUCUGGUUAAGUUAGGGCGUGGUCAUCUGCUAAAAUCUUUGUUCACAAAACAUAAACCAGUUUUUCUUCCUUAGGGAAGAGAGAAAAGGAACAAUUUUAAGAGACUUUUUCUUAUGCAGGCUAUAACGUCAGACUGUUCAGAGCACAGCAGGACAGAUAAGAGCUCAGGUGAAGUUUCCAUACAUCAACACACAAUGGGGAGACAAGCUUAGUCAUGAGUGCUCUCUCAGUGUUUCUCUUCUUUCCACGUACCCAGAUAAAAUAGAUAUUUUUUCUCAAAAUUGCUAAAGAAUGAAUCACAUUGUGGCUCACUUAACAUAGCCCUACAGAUUUGAACAUGUGCUUGGCUUCUUCCAUCUCUACACAUGGCAAUUACCUGGUAUCUGCUCACGCUAUCUUAAAUCAAGGGAAGCCUUCACAGAACACAUUGACUGCCAUCAUCUGCUUUGGGCACCCAGAUCCCCAAAUGUGGUGUUGCUGUUUUCUGUUCAGGCUUGAGAUCCCUUGAGGUUGCUACUGGGCUUCAGUCAAUAAAUAGCUAAUAAACCUCUGACUUGCCAAGCAAGGCAGUGAAGGAACUGUGAAGUAGGAUUGAUCUGUUUAUUGACAUUAAGUAAAAAUAACUAGAUGAUCUUUAACGUCCCUUCCAACCUAAGCCAUUCUAUGAUCCUGUGAGCUGAGCCUAAUUAUGGAUUUUUCCAUGCAGAAAAGGUGCAGAUCAUGGUCAGCAUGUCUAGUGGUUUUAUUUGGUCACAUUACAGUAUCCUGUCAUGCUAACAUUUCAUUGUCAAGCAGACAGUGAAAAAAACCAACAACAACAAACCCCACCGUGAGUAUUUAACAGCAAUAUCUAUGGAGAGAUAGUGGAAAACAUGAAUCAAGGGCAAUUAACCCACUGUGAGAACAAUUAGGAACUUGUUUUGGCUGUGUUAUUAGUUGUGGGAGCACUGGCUUGUCUACGCAAUCAGUGCUUUAAAAAUAUAUGAAUUAAAUCAUAAGUGAAAUCAGCAUCUGAAUUUAGUAGUAAAGUCACCACAUUGUGCCUGCAACGUUCUGACUCCUUUUCACUUUUUCCAAAGGACUCUGUAAGCUACAACAAAAAUAAUUCCAGCACUUAAGAAAGUAUGGACAGUAUCAUUUUUUCCCAGAACAUAUGAAAAAAUUUUCUUAAGAGCCCAUCUUUUCCACUCACUAUGUGCAGACUUGGGUUUUCUUUUCUGCACUGCUUUUUGAAAGGUUCACUCAGGGAAACUGCUGCUGGGUGGGAGGGAAUAACAAAGCAUAUCUGAAAAGGCAGUUUUUAAUAAUACUUGGUGGUGGUUUUUUGUUUUUGUUUUUUUUCUGAGCUACAAGCAUUUUGUGCUGUGCUGAAAGGUGCCAUCAUUUUAUCAGCCAAUGGAGUGGGAGCCACAUGUCAGAGUGUGAAGCUGCCUCCACCCUGUUCAGAUGGCAGGAUGGGGAUUUGGAAUUUAAGAGUUUAAGAGGAAUGAUGUAUCUCAGUGUGAGCUGAGAGAUGUUCAAGUGUGGAAACUGGUUUGAAUUCUGACCAUAAAACUUUUAACAUGAUUAUCACCUAAUACCAUCAUUUUUUGUUGCUACCAUGCAGCUGGGAAGCUUUCUAUCAGCACUUCAGGCAGGAAAAGAUUUAAAGAAUAAAACCAACUGCCUAUCAGAGGAUCAAAUGUAUGAACAAGAAGUACAUUUUAAUUAUAACUUACUUACAAAAAAGAAAUUUAAAUUCUAAAUCGAAUAAGGCAUAUGUCCUGCCAUGAGUGUUUGAAACUGUGCCCAGGACAGACCGGCUACAGUUUAGUCUUAGGACUGGGUCUGCAACUGGUUGUGUAAACUGUGUAAACUGUUAAUUUUAUAACUUGUUAUGAACAUGUAUGUUACAUUUUAAGUGGCCAAAUUAAUACUGAGACAGUACUUGCCCAGAAUAACAUCUGGCAAGCAUCUUGCAAAAUUGAUGCCAAAUACUAUUAUUUUAAGAGAAGAAAACAAAUCUUUGAAGUUUUAUUAUCAAGCCAUUCAGAAGAAAAUUUGGAAAGAGUGCUUUCAUGAUUCUGCAUCAGGAGGAGAAAUUGCUUUAACUAGAUAUGGUAAGUGAUCAGUUCUGCAUGCUGUGAUUAGGACAGCUUUGAUAAUUACAUGUAUAGUAACAUGGCUGAGAUCAUGAACAUCUGUUCGCUCAGAAAAAAGAAAUAGAUCACAUUUAUCUCUCCACAAACCAAAUCUAGAACUUUUUAUUGUGAUCUUUAUCAUGUUCCAUGAUAAGAAAAGGGCAGAAAUACGCUGUUUUAAUUAUCUUAAAUAAUUCAAUGGCAGACAUUGUGACUUCUUGCUCAGGCAGUUUAAGAAAUCUUGUGUUUGUUCGUUGGCACUGAUUUAGCUUGAAUCGUGCAGUAUUAUAAGGACCAAGAAAGCAGAGCACAAUAAUUCUUCAAGUAAGGCAUGACAGUUAAAAUGCAUAUUUAUUGAGCGCCUACAUAUUUUUGACUGAUAGACAUGGAGGUAAAAUAAGAUAAAGUGGAAGGAUUCGGGAGUGUUGGUUGAUGAAAGAUUCAACAUGAGCCAGCAAUGUGAGUUUGCAGCCCAGAUAGCCAACCAUAUUUUGGGGUUCAUCACAAACAGUUUGACCAGCAGGAUGAGAGAGGUGAUUCUGCCCCUCCACUCUGCUCUUGUGGGACCCCACCUGGAGUACUGCUUCCAGUUCCAGGGCCCCCAGCACAAGAGGAUGCUGAGUUGCUAGAGUGGGUCCAGAGGAGGGCCACAAAGAUUAUCAAUUCUUAUUUUCCUUGGAAGAACAAGAAGUGUGAAAACUCAACAACUGCAAACCAGUUGUUUGGACAAGAUGGACAGAAUGGGGACUGUUUUGAACACUUCAUCUCUGGCUGCCUUCUUUGUCAUCACCUAUGCUGAUGUUAAAUGACAGCUCAAUGUCUUUGAGAAAUUAAAAACAAAGUAAAGGUUUCAAUCAUUUUAGUAAUAGUAUUUUUAAUGCUGGGAACUUAGCUUUUUAGUGUGGAAAACUCUUUCUGAGGGCUGUCUGGCUUGUAAUACCAGGCAAUACACCCAGCUCAGCUACAGCUUUAGUCUUCUGGCUGGUGGGUUGAUAUUCUCCUGGACAGAUUCUGUUUUAUUAUGGUGCGCUGUUUGAGACAGACUUACUUCUCUGUAGCUGGGAUUUACUGUUUAAUCCCAGAAAAACUGCUGUCAGUGCUAACAAAGGAUAUGAUUUCUGCAGAGAAAUAUCUGCUUUAAAAAUGAAUCUGUUUAAAGACAAACAGACAUUAUUUCUGGUAGUUUGUAUUUCCUUUUAAAUGUAAGUGCUUAAUGUAGUUCUUAUCACUCUGAAUCUCUCUAAAGCAUGAAAACAGAGAUAUGGAUUUUGGCACAGUCAGAUUCCUAAAAAGGAGUUGGUAUUUAAGAAUCAUUGUGGUCUUGUCUUACAGAAAUCCUGUAUUAGCAAAGUUUACUGCUUUGACAUAUUUUCCCUGAUGCUAGCUGAGCUUUGUUAGUGCUAACAUCAUUAAAGGCUUGUGGUAUUUAGAGCUGUUUUUCCCAAGAUGAGGAUUUGGAACAUCCUCACUGGCUCAUCCACUAACACGUGUCAACAGCCUCCCACAGACGAGGUGCUCUUCAGCAGAUGUAAAGCUGCUCUGGUCAAAGCCCAGCCUCAACUUUAUCCCAUGUAACUAACUCUGAAUCUGGAACACAUGUUCCACCUGAAUCCCGAACUCAGGAUUCAUCCAAGGCUGAAACACAGGAUCCAUCAGGAGCUCAAACACAGACUGGAGGAGAGUAGCCUUGCAAGGAAGCUGCUGAACAGUCCAUGUCUGCCCAAAGAGUCUGGUCUCCCCAUGUCUCUAUCCUAUUCUUAGCGUUGUUCUCACAAGGUUCAACCUGAGACAAGUCAACUCAGAGACCUGGCAUAAAAUUACUCUUUCUGAAUUGGUUUGUUUAGGAGUGCUUUUCUGCCACCUUGGCAAGCAGCAGCGACUGUGGAUGAAUUUGAGGUGUGCCAAAGCAAGUGCAGGAAGUGUGCGGGGGAAAACACGGAACAAGUUGCUGGAUCAGCUCAAGCUGUGGCACGUACCUUUGCCCCUACAUCUGCUUUGAGGAUGACAUAAUACUAAUGAUGCUGACAAAGGAGCUUGAGCAGAUCUUGGAGUUGCAGUUGAGGGAGACAUCACAACACACCAAGCUGCCAUGCCUUCUGCCAGAAGUCACUGGUGGUAGAACACAAGUGUGGGUGCAAUGCUUUAGGUGCUGCAGGGCAGAACAAAGCCACAUAUGGUGAGGUAUGAAAAACUUACUUUUCAGUUUCUACUGAUAUUAAGAAUACUAUUCCACUUUCUCCCUCUGCGGCUUUGGCAAUUCAGCUGUUGGUACUGAAGUAGUUUGGCCUCCAGAGAGGUGAAAACAACAGUAUCUUUAAAACUCUCUGCUCUAAAGAAAUAUGCAUCUAUAAACUGCUGGCAAUAAAUACAUACACUGUGUAACAAAGUGUCCAGGCUUCACUGACACCUACCAAUUGUUCCUGUCCUUUAAAACACGUCUCCCCAAAAUCACCCUGCCUGCACGGUGCUGCUGUCCUGCUGCCUCUGAUCUCCCUCAGUGUACUCUUGAGGCAGGUGCAGGGGGUGGAGGCACACCAUGCAGAGCAGAGGUGCAGAGGGGUUUUGAAAAUAAGCUUAAAGAACUGAAUCUAAGGAAAUACAGAGAUAAUUUUAGGUGGGAAAAGACAAGUUUCUACAGCGUAGGAGUGAAGAGAACUUUACAUGGCAGAGGGAUAGCUCAUAUAUAAUUGAAAGAUGAAUGGUAUUUAAUUAAAACGUGGUGAUGUCCACAUCCCUGUGAUACAUGCACUACAAACAACCCUUGUGUGCAUCCACAGGUUCAG